CUGGGGCUUCAUUUAUGUUUCCCUGAGGACACAUGCUGUCAGUGACAGUAGACAAUGGUUUAGAGUGGCAAAAAGACUCCCCAAAGAUACCAUCCCAGCAUCUUGAUAGCACCAGAGUUGGUGACAACAUAGCAGUAGUUACAUGCUGAGUGCAUGGUGCAUCUGUUAACAUGACUUCUGAGUAAAAACGAGAGGAAUCAAAAUGACACAAAUGUCUGUGCUGGGACUUCAGAGCUGAAGGUACUGUUUUCCCUCCAUCUGCCCGACUCCUUUUUCAACACAUGACAGUCAUGUGUGUGUACAUGUUUCAACCAGUACUGACUGCUGUGGCAAUUCCCAUGGAGACGCCCCAGCUAUCAGGGCCCAGGCUCUGGCCCACAUUCCUGGGUCAUCAUCACACACAAGUUGUGCUGGCUGGUGGUGACCCUCUCUGACAGAGCUGCGCUUGACUGCUUCUUGGGCCUUCACUCUUCUCCCUGCCAGAAUCUGAGAACAGGAGAGUGGUGCAGGCGGCUAUCCAGGGAGGCCCAAGGCCAGCAGGUGGGAACCCACGGUCCACUCUGGCUUCCCACUGCCAUUCUUCAUCUACCCACCUCCAGAGACCAGCUCAAGGCCUCACUUUCCAGGCCAGCCCCCUCCAUGUCCUAGAAUAUCUGUGAAUGUCCUUAGUUGCCUCAAUCAGGAGCUGAUUGGCCCCACAUGCAACAACCCCAUGACCUGGGCCUUCUUCUCCAGCUUUGCAAGUGCUGAAUACCAAGCUGCCCUCAGCAGGACCACCCUGGUUGUCCAGCAGCACCAAGAGUCCUUGGUCCCUGGACAGCCCCAGCUCAAUGUGUGUAACCAGGCUGUCAUGAACUGGGCACCCCCAGGCUGUGAAAAGUUAGGGAAAUGUCUGACACCUCCAGAGUCUGUCCCAGAGAAGUGCUCCUGGCCCCAUUAGCCAAGACCAGAAUCUCUAGCCAGCCCCAUAAGUACCUGAGGACAGCAAGAGUGUGGCCUUGGAAGAGUCCAGCUGCCCUCUGCCCCACCACUGAAUGGGCCGCCCCUCAACCUGUAGCAAGGUCCCAAAACAAUGGCUGCUGGAGCACUGGCCCCGGAGUCCAUCUUGUCGGCUCCUGUUGAGAAAGAAGCAUCUCCAACUCCCCCUGCUGGCCUUGGUGGCCCAGUGCUGCAGCCCAGAUCUGGAGGGCUGACACCUGGCCUCCUCCUAGUCACUGCAUCUGUGGUAACCUUGGUGUUGUAGGCAAAAGUGAAGACUCAGUGCCCUGCAGAGAAGCCACCAACUACCCAGCCAUCAGUGAUCUCCCACCUCUUGAGUCAUUCAUUCUCCCUCUUCCUGAUAGAGUACACUGCCCAGCCCAAAGGGAGAGCUGAUGCCACUGCCCUGUGGAAAUAUGAAGGUGAUAUAAUUCUAAGUGCCAUAAUUCAGUGGUGCCACAUCUACUGCACCUGCCACCUGUCAUGUGCAAGCCACCCAGUGCAACCUCUGAGACCCUUUCCCUGAAGGCUCACUGGACUUGGCCAUGAGCUAAUUUUCACAUCUGUGCAAUGACUGUCAUGGCAAAGUUUGGAAAAUAAUAGACCAAGAGAGCAAGAAUAAAGGAACAGGAGGUGCGUUA